rnacentral:rRNA from 1 species
CGCGGGGCAACCUGGCGGCGAGUGGCGAACGGGUGAGUAAUAUAUCGGAACGUACCCAGAAGUGGGGGAUAACGUAGCGAAAGUUACGCUAAUACCGCAUACGAUCUACGGAUGAAAGUGGGGGACCUUCGGGCCUCAUGCUUUUGGAGCGGCCGAUAUCUGAUUAGCUAGUUGGUGGGGUAAAGGCCUACCAAGGCGACGAUCAGUAGCUGGUCUGAGAGGACGACCAGCCACACUGGAACUGAGACACGGUCCAGACUCCUACGGGAGGCAGCAGUGGGGAAUUUUGGACAAUGGGCGCAAGCCUGAUCCAGCAAUGCCGCGUGAGUGAAGAAGGCCUUCGGGUUGUAAAGCUCUUUUGUCAGGGAAGAAACGGCAGAGGCUAAUAUCCUUUGCUAAUGACGGUACCUGAAGAAUAAGCACCGGCUAACUACGUGCCAGCAGCCGCGGUAAUACGUAGGGUGCAAGCGUUAAUCGGAAUUACUGGGCGUAAAGCGUGCGCAGGCGGUUUUGUAAGUCUGACGUGAAAGCCCCGGGCUCAACCUGGGAAUUGCGUUGGAGACUGCAAGGCUUGAAUCUGGCAGAGGGGGGUAGAAUUCCACGUGUAGCAGUGAAAUGCGUAGAGAUGUGGAGGAACACCGAUGGCGAAGGCAGCCCCCUGGGUCAAGAUUGACGCUCAUGCACGAAAGCGUGGGGAGCAAACAGGAUUAGAUACCCUGGUAGUCCACGCCCUAAACGAUGUCUACUAGUUGUCG